rnacentral:tRNA from 1 species
GGGAGCGUGGCUCAGUGGAAAGAGCCCGGGCUUGGGAGUCAGAGGUCAUGGGUUCGAAUCCCUACUCUGCUA